GGGUCAGUAGGUUGGUCGUGCCACCGGUACGUACUGGUCUCACUGAUUCCUCCUUCCCGAAGAACCGUAAUGCCAUUAAUUUGGUGUUGCGGGGAAACAGGACUGUUACUUUGAAAAAAUUAGAGUGUUUAAAGCAAGCUAACGCUUGAAUACAUUAGCACGGAAUAAUGAAAUAGGACGAUCGAUCCUAUUUUGUUGGUUUCUAGGAUUGACGUA
rnacentral:rRNA from 1 species